AGAUGGUGAUCCAUGCUGUGGAAGUCUCACAUCUCCUGAUUUAAUGGAGCUGCUUUGCACUUUUUACACUGUUUAUUCACCAACACUUUAUUUAAUAAAAGUCCCAUCUAGUUUUUAUGAGGAAUGUGAUGUUUUAAUUUCUCUGUGAAUAACUGCAGUCUAAUGCAACAGCUGGAGUUGUAACAUCUGUCCUGAUAUUGAUCAUGAAGUAUUGAUCAGAAUACUUAUGGUUAGCAGUCAUCCCUGAAGUUUUACAUUAAAAUCUUUACUUGUGUUGUGAACUUUGGUAAGAAGCAGAAACUUUUGCGUUGCCAUGGAUACAUGAGUGUUAAAUUCUGUCCAUGUUUCCAUUUUGGGAAAUUCAGUCCAGUUCCAGAAUGUGGAGGAAUUUAGUCUCACAAUCACAGACAACAAAUAUUAUCUGAAAGUCGGGUUAUUGUUGUUUAUCAGCACAAUACAAAAAGAUUAAUGUUAGAAAUAUUCCAGUUAAGACUCUAGAAUAUCAUGAUUUAUGUAAAUUUACCUCAAUAAUAUGAAUGUUCAGGUUAAGAUUGUGCAGUGAUAUUUAUUAUGCAAGUUUAGCUGAUUAAAGUUUAUGACUCUGCACUAAAAUAUUAUUUAAAUUGACAUCAUUAUUAUAAUAUUUAGGGUCAGACCCUACAGUAUUGAGAUUAAGAAAUCAAAUAUUCUAUAAAAUGUAAAUACACUGAACUCAUUUGGAUAUAUUUAAGUGAGACUCUACAAUAUUAUUUGACACAAAUCUAUCUAAAUCAAAAUUUUAAUAAUUUUCACGCCAAACAUUUACUGGACUGAUUUAAAUAUUAAAAUCACUCCUUUCUAAUCCUCUGCUGUACGUUCAAACCUGAGGCCUUAAAUAGAAACACACAAGUAUCUGUUUGAAGGAACUUCUGCAGAGUCCUGGUUCCAGAACAUGAUGAUAGAAUUAUAGACAAACUUUAACAAAAGCUGCCUGAGAGUUUACAGGUUUUUAUGUUGGAUUUCUUCAGUAAUUUAAUGAGCGUUAUCAGCAAUAAUCAAGUGUUCAUUUGAUGAACUUCAUUUCCUAAAACAUCCAGAAUUGGAGCUCAUAUCUUUGGCAGCUGUAAAGUUUCUGCUCCUUCAAAGUUCACAACACAAUGAAUGAAUUCCUAAAACACUCUCAAUGCUGGAGAGCGUUUGUGAUGCUGAAGCAGUGACCAGUUUUUCUGUUUCUUCUCUGGAGAUGCACAAUGAGGGACGUCUGCAGCGACUGAGAAAGAGUCUCACCACAUCCUGACAUGAGGAAAAAGACUUUAUUGAAGACUACAAUGAGAAAAACUAUCAGACAGCAGACGGCUGCAUUCAAGGCUGUUAGAUUGUUCCAGAUAAGACAAGUACAAGAUUCUUCAGAGCCGUUCUACCACGAGCCUGACAGGAAGAACUCCAACAGCUACUGAAUGUUCCUGUGGUUCCCUCAAGGCUACAGGAGGAGCCCUACGAGGACGAGCCGGUCCACCUGAUGGC
ensembl:lncRNA